CCUACGGGUGGCAGCAGUGAGGAAUAUUGGUCAAUGGACGAGAGUCUGAACCAGCCAAGUAGCGUGAAGGAUGACUGCCCUAUGGGUUGUAAACUUCUUUUAUAUGGGAAUAAAAUGUUCCACGUGUGGGAUUUUGUAUGUACCAUAUGAAUAAGGAUCGGCUAACUCCGUGCCAGCAGCCGCAGUAAUACGGAGGAUCCGCGCGUUAUCCGGAUUUAUUGGGUUUAAAGGGAGCGUAGGUGGAUUGUUAAGUCAGUUGUGAAAGUUUGCGGCUCAACCGUAAAAUUGCAGUUGAAACUGGCAGUCUUGAGUACAGUAGAGGUGGGCGGAAUUCGUGGUGUAGCGGUGAAAUGCUUAGAUAUCACGAAGAACUCCGAUUGCGAAGGCAGUUCACUGGACUGCAACUGACACUGAGGCUCGAAAGUGUGGGUAUCAAACAGGAUUAGAUACCCUAGUAGUC
rnacentral:rRNA from 1 species